AUUGAACGCUGGCGGCAGGCCUAACACAUGCAAGUCGAACGAGUGGCGGACGGGUGAGUAAUGAUUGGGCAUCUAGCUUAUGGAGGGGGAUAACUACGGGAAACUGUUGCCAAUACCGCGUACCAUAGGCUGAGCCCAAGUGGGAUUAGGUAGUUGGUGGGGUAAAGGCUCACCAAGCCGACGAACUCUAGCUGGUCUGAGAGGAUGACCAGCCACACUGGGACUGAGACACGGUCCAGACUCCUACGGGAGGCAGCAGUGGGGAAUAUUGGGCAAUGGGGGAAAGCUGACGCAGCCAUGCCGCGUGAAUGAAGAAGGCCUUCGGGUUGUAAAGUUCUUUAGGUAGCGAGGCGUUAACUACAGAAGAAGCACCGGCUAACUCCGUGCCAGCAGCCGCGGUAAUAC
rnacentral:rRNA from 1 species